AGAGUUUGAUCCGUGGCUCAGGACGAACGCUGGCGGCGUGCUUAACACAUGCAAGUCGAACGAGGUUUAGGGAAGAGCUUGCUCGGAACUAAACCGAGUGGCGGACGGGUGAGUAACGCGUGAGCAACCUGUCUCACACAGGGGGAUAACGCAUCGAAAGAUGUGCUAAUACCGCAUAGGACCACGGGGUCGCAUGGCCAAGAGGUGAAAGGAGCAAUCCGGUGUGAGGUGGGCUCGCGUCUGAUUAGAUAGUUGGUGGGGUAACGGCCUACCAAGUCAACGAUCAGUAGCCGACCUGAGAGGGUGAUCGGCCACAUUGGGACUGAGACACGGCCCAGACUCCUACGGGAGGCAGCAGUGGGGAAUAUUGGGCAAUGGGCGAAAGCCUGACCCAGCAACGCCGCGUGAAGGAAGAAGGUUUUCGGAUCGUAAACUUCUGUCCUUGGUGAAGAGCGGAAGACGGUAGCCAAGGAGGAAGCCCCGGCUAACUACGUGCC
rnacentral:rRNA from 1 species